AGUGAACGCUGGCGGUAGGCCUAACACAUGCGAGUCGAACGGCAGCACAGUAAGAGCUUGCUCUUACGGGUGGCGAGUGGCGGACGGGUGAGGAAUAAAUCGGAAUCUACUUUUUCGUGGGGGAUAACGUAGGGAAACUUACGCUAAUACCGCAUACGACCUACGGGUGAAAGCAGGGGAUCUUCGGACCUUGCGCGAUUGAAUGAGCCGAUGUCGGAUUAGCCAGUUGGCGGGGUAAAGGCCCACCAAGGCGACGAUCCGUAGCUGGUCUGAGAGGAUGAUCAGCCACACUGGAACUGAGACACGGUCCAGACUCCUACGGGAGGCAGCAGUGGGGAAUAUUGGACAAUGGGCGCAAGCCUGAUCCAGCCAUACCGCGUGGGUGAAGAAGGCCUUCGGGUUGUAAAGCCCUUUUGUUGGGAAAGAAAAGCAGCAGGUUAAUACCCCGCUGUUCUGACGGUACCCAAAGAAUAAGCACCGGCUAACUUCGUG
rnacentral:rRNA from 1 species